rnacentral:rRNA from 1 species
AUUGAACGCUGGCGGCAUGCCUUACACAUGCAAGUCGAACGGCAGCGGGCCCUUCGGGGUGCCGGCGAGUGGCGAACGGGUGAGUAAUGCAUCGGAACGUACCCGGGAGAGGGGGAUAACCGGCCGAAAGGCUGGCUAAUACCGCAUGAACUCGGAAGAGCAAAGCGGGGGACCUUCGGGCCUCGCGCUCUCGGAGCGGCCGAUGUCCGAUUAGGCUAGUUGGUGGGGUAAAGGCCCACCAAGGCGACGAUCGGUAGCGGGUCUGAGAGGACGAUCCGCCACACUGAGACUGAAACACGGCCCAGACUCCUACGGGAGGCAGCAGUGGGGAAUCUUGGACAAUGGGCGCAAGCCUGAUCCAGCAAUGCCGCGUGGGUGAAGAAGGCCUUCGGGUUGUAAAGCCCUUUCGGCGGGGAAGAAAUCGGUCAGGCGAAUAGUCUGGCCGGAUGACGGUACCCGCAGAAGAAGCACCGGCUAACUACGUG